CUGUGGCACCAAGAUGGAGUCACACCAGGUCUUCGUCUUCCUGCUCCUCUGGAUGUCUGGUGCUGAGGGGAACAUUGUGAUGACCCAGUCUCCUGAAUUAAUGUCCACAUCUGUAGGAGACAGGAUCACUCUAGGCUGCAAGUCCAGUCAGAGUGAUGCCGACUCCCCCAUCUGGAUCCCAGAUAGACUCAUCCAGCCGGCUAAUAUCGAGACGGCAACAAAAAAGACUAAAGCAAAAAAGGAAAACAAUGGAAGCAAAGCUGCAGAAGCUCUCGUUGAUGCCCAAGAAAAUAACAACAUGGACACAACUGAAACACCUGAUGAGAGAAACAGAGGAAUUGGUGAAGGCUCAACAAAAGCCUAA